rnacentral:misc_RNA from 1 species
GUAGGUGAACCUGCGGAAGGAUCAUUAACACGUAUCAAAUUACAUACCAACCGUGAACUGUUUACCCUGAAUCAGACUGAAGAAGUUCUGUUCCUCUGCGCCUCGGCAGACCGUGCACCGACUUGUUUUGACGGUCGGAUCGGUAUCGUGCAUGAACAUUGAACGCCUUGGUCGGUGUGUUAACUCCGAUUAUUCUCAUGGCAGUCUGAGAAAGGAUGAUAAAGCCGCCCCGUCUCUUUACUGUCGUUAU